UUCCUAAGCCUUUGGACACCCUAAUUAAGUGAAUAACAUUGUCCCUACCUACAGUGUUUAAGUUUAAAAAACUGGGCUCUCAAAAGAAAUUUCAAUCGUUGUACUGUUGAGAGUUGGCCCUGUUGACUAAUGAGUUUGCCGACCACU